rnacentral:lncRNA from 10 species
GCUUCCCAACACAAACCACCCACCACUGUUAGGUUUUCUCUCUCCUCACUUCUACGUAGGCCAUUCCUACAGAUACCCCUACAGUAUCUUUCAUCUUAUUGACUGGUCAGAAUUCUAAAUGUCUUUCAAGGACCAGUGCUAUUUCACCUUCUCCAGGAAGUGCUUCAUGACCGUUCUCGGGUUAGAAAUAUCCCUCUUGGCCAAGCACAGCGGCUCACUCCUGUAAUCCCAGCAUUUUGGGAUUACAGGCGUGAGUCACUGCAUCUGGCCUCACACAGUCAUUCUGAAGAGUGUAAGCCUAGCACAGGGCCUGGUAUAGAGUAAGCACUCAAGAAACACAACUCCUUUCCUCCCUUCGACUCAUCAAGAAAGCUGAGCCGAGGGAGCAUCCACUUCCCCCAAGCCUCCCAGAACAGGGAAUUUCCUCUGCGCAUUUAACUUUGAGCAAGGGUAUUGGGGUUUGACUCUCCAAAAUGGGAAAUGAUCCACGGCAGUAACCUGGCCAAGCCCUGCUCAGUGGCCUGCCAUGAUCUGGUCCAGGCCCACGCUGUUGCCCUCCUGCCCACCGAACAUUCAGGACUGGAGAGGAGGCUCACCCUGGAGCGGGCUAAGGAAGUGAGGUCAUAGCCUGUGACAGCAAUUUGGGAGUUGGGAGAGGCCUGCCAGCCCCUGCCAGUUCCUGGACCUUCACAGAGCAGUUGUUUCCUAUGGUUCGGCUGGAAUUUCAGGCAGGAAUGUUGAGCAGACGGCAGUGGGGUAAGUGUAAAUUCCAGAGGCUGAGGCAACAUUUUGCAGAGGAGUUUUUUUUCCCUGCCAGCCUCUGGCCUCAAGCAAGCCCUUCCUGGGAGUGGGAGGAAUUCGUUGGGCUUGGAUCGCCUGGGAUGCAGCUUCUCCUAUGGUGAAGGGGAAAUGAUGGGUGCACUACUAUGAGCCAGGCACUUUACAUGGAUGUAACCCUUAUAUGGUCAAUGGGAUUUAACCUGCAAACUGAAGUCAACAUUAUUUUCUUUUUCUGUCCUUUUCAGCUUGCUUGCUUUCUUCUUAUCCCUAAAUAAAAUCUCAGGCAGGUCUUGUAGGUUUUCUGGGCCCCUUCAGUUUCCAAGACAGUCUUAACCUUGUUUUUGUUUUUUGUUUUUUUUGUUUUUGAGACAGGGUCUCACUCUGUUCCCCAGGCUGGAGUGCAGUGGUGCAGUCAGAGCUCACUGCAGCCUCCACCUUCUAAGCUCAAGUGAUCCCCUGAUGUCAGCCUCCCACUACAGGUGCAUGCCACCAUGCCUGACUAUUUAUUUAUUUAUUUAUUUAUUUAUUUAUGAGACAGAGUCUCAUUCUGUCACCAGGCUGGAGUGCAGUGGCAUGACCUCAGCUCACUACAACCUCCACCUCCCGAGUUCAAGCGAUUCUCCUGCCUCAGCCUUCCGAGUAGCUGGGAGGCUGAGAUGGGAGGAUUGCUUGAGCCUGGGAGGUGGAGACUACAAUGAGCCAUGAUUGUGCCACUGUACUCAGCCUGGGUGACUGGGUGACAAUGCAGGACCUUGUUUCAAAAUUUAAAAAGGAUGAGCCCUUCAGCCUUCAGCCUAAAAGUCUGCUCACCACUAUCACUCUACAUUGUGAAUUAACCCUUCACGUGCAGCCCUCCCUCUUCUCAUCCCCAGCUAGACGGCUUAUUGGUGUAUCCUCAACUGUCCAGCUAAUAGGCUUGUUGAUACGUUGAUUCACUGAUGAAUGACCCUUUGAAUAACUUGGCAGCAUCAUCUCAUAUUUGUACAUUGUACAGUUCACAAAAC